AUUGAUACGGUUAAAAUAUCACAAACUGUUGUAUUUAUGUCGAACAAUUUGACACCUCAAACUCUAAACAAUAAAUAACGUUUUAUCAAAGCCAUUGCAAAUUGUUACAAUUCAGUAUUUUGUUCUUAUAUUGUUGAAUGAUAUGAAGUUGAAAAUCGUGAGAAAUAGUAACAACAUAAAUCUACCUUCUGGGGAAUGGUUUUUGUUUCUUUUUGUGCAACACAAACACAUGAAUAUUUAACUAUAAACUACUUUUAAGCAACAGUUUGGCAAACAGUUGAAGCGAUACACGCUAGAAAAUUUACACUGUGAUAAAUUUCACAGUAUAUUUUAUAGAAGUUCCAUAUUUUAAAGAAAAAAAAUAGGUUUCUCCUCACCCUUGAUAGCAAUAUUAAAACAAGCGCUGCUAUUUUGUUUUUUUUUAAGAUGUAAAAUCCUUAAAAAAAAACAAAAAAAUAACUACUGUGUAAAAUUUUUAUUAUACACUCUGUUGAAUUUUCCAUGCGUGUUUGUUUUCACGCUAUCUGAAAAAUAGAAAAAUAAAAAAACGUCGCGAGUUUGUUAUUUCUGCUCCUGCUAGUUUACAGUCGUUUUUUCAUUGAAAUGAAAAACAUACCAUGUUAUUAGAACCGGAUCCGGAAGUGCUGAAAACAGCUGCCGUUUUUGCUUCGGUCGGAACGGUGAUAAGCGGAAGAACCGGGACGGAACGAUGAUGAUGCCGCGCAGCUUGGAUUGCAACUUAUCAAACCAGUGUCCCGAGCUCCUACAUUUAAAUGCUAGUGAUUUAAUUAUGAAUAAUAAUAGUUUAAGUUCUACAAUUCUAGUUGAUCAUUUUCAAUAGCGAAUAAUGAAACAAGUAGUGCGUGUGGGCUGAACUCAUUUCAAACAAAAAAAUUGAU